rnacentral:lncRNA from 1 species
CACAAAGACCUUUUUUAAAGGACAAAUACAUUGUCAGUGGAUUCCUUUUCUACAUCUAUUUUAAGAAACCAAUAUGGGCACCAACUCUGAUGGAAACUAUAGAAAAAAACUCCAAAUAUAAGACCACCGUUAGAUGAGGAAAUGAAACCAGAAAGAGGAAAAGUGCUUACACCCAAGAGUGGAAUCCACUUGUGACAAAAGCACUCCAGUCCUAGAGUAAAGCUGUCUUUACUUUGCAUCCUCCCACAGAGAUGGACUGAGGAUUUCUCCUCAGAGAAAGUUUCCCUGAUUGUCUCCUUUUUGGCAAAUCUAGUGCUUUUUUAAAGGCUCUGUGUCUUGGGUGAGGCGGAUGCUAGAGCCUGAGGAGGAAGAAAACAGGCGGGACCUUAAGAGUAAGG